rnacentral:rRNA from 1 species
GAUGAACGCUAGCUACAGGCUUAACACAUGCAAGUCGAGGGGCAGCAUGGUCUUAGCUUGCUAAGGCCGAUGGCGACCGGCGCACGGGUGAGUAACACGUAUCCAACCUGCCGUCUACUCUUGGACAGCCUUCUGAAAGGAAGAUUAAUACAAGAUGGCAUCAUGAGUCCGCAUGUUCACAUGAUUAAAGGUAUUCCGGUAGACGAUGGGGAUGCGUUCCAUUAGAUAGUAGGCGGGGUAACGGCCCACCUAGUCUUCGAUGGAUAGGGGUUCUGAGAGGAAGGUCCCCCACAUUGGAACUGAGACACGGUCCAAACUCCUACGGGAGGCAGCAGUGAGGAAUAUUGGUCAAUGGGCGAGAGCCUGAACCAGCCAAGUAGCGUGAAGGACGACUGCCCUAUGGGUUGUAAACUUCUUUUAUAAAGGAAUAAAGUCGGGUAUGGAUACCCGUUUGCAUGUACUUGAUGAAUAAGGAUCGGCUAACUCCGUG